AAUGAACGUUGGCGGCGUGGAUUAGGCAUGCAAGUCGUGCGGAAAGGCUCCUUCGGGAGUACUCGAGCGGCGAAAGGGAGAGUAACGCGUGGAUAUUUACCCCCGGGACUGGGAUAGCGGCGGGAAACUGCCGGUAAUACCGGAUAAUGUCUCCGGACAAAAGGUGUGACUCCGCCUGGGGAUGAGUCCGCGUCCUAUUAGCCUGUUGGUGGGGUAAUGGCCUACCAAAGCUGAGAUGGGUACCGGGUGUGAGAGCAUGGCCCGGCUCACUGGGACUGAGACACUGCCCAGACACCUACGGGUGGCAG
rnacentral:rRNA from 1 species